rnacentral:rRNA from 1 species
AGAGUUUGAUCCUGGCUUAGGAUGAACGCUAGCGGCAGGCUUAACACAUGCAAGUCGAGGGGCAGCGGGAUGUAGCAAUACAUUGCCGGCGACCGGCGGAUGGGUGCGUAACGCGUAUGCAACCUACCUUAUACAGGGGAAUAACCUUUCGAAAGGGAGACUAACACCCCAUGGUAUGAUUUAAGGCAUCUUAGAUUAAUUAAAUAUUUAUAGGUAUAAGAUGGGCAUGCGUAUGAUUAGCUAGUUGGUAAGGUAACGGCUUACCAAGGCGACGAUCAUUAGGGGUUCUGAGAGGAAGGUCCCCCACACUGGUACUGAGACACGGACCAGACUCCUACGGGAGGCAGCAGUGAGGAAUAUUGGUCAAUGGGCGCAAGCCUGAACCAGCCAUGCCGCGUGCAGGAAGACGGCCUUAUGGGUUGUAAACUGCUUUUACAUAAGACUAACCGUAUAUUUGCGAAUAUACCUGAAUGUAUUAUGAGAAUAAGGAUCGGCUAACUCCGUGCCAGCCGCCGC